rnacentral:rRNA from 1 species
GAAUAUACAACUUACUAAGAGUUUGACUCCGUGGCUCAGGACGACGCUGGCGGCACGCCUAACACAUGCAAGUCGAACGGACUUAGGAGAGCUUGCUCAAAUAAGUUAGUGGCGGACGGGUGAGUAACACGUGAGCAACCUGCCUCUAAGAGGGGAAUAGCUUCUAGAAAUGGAUGGUAAUACCUCAUAAAAUAUUUUAAUGGCAUCAUUGAAAUAUCAAAGAUUUAUCGCUUAGAGAUGGGCUCGCGUCUGAUUAGCUAGAUGGUAAGGUAACGGCUUACCAUGGCGACGAUCAGUAGCCGGACUGAGAGGUUGAACGGCCACAUUGGGACUGAGACACGGCCCAGACUCCUACGGGAGGCAGCAGUGGGGAAUAUUGCACAAUGGGCGAAAGCCUGAUGCAGCGAUGCCGCGUGAGGGAAGAAGGUCUUCGGAUUGUAAACCUCUGUUUUCAGGGACGAUAAUGACGGUACCUGAGGAGGAAGCUCCGGCUA